rfam:Neurospora crassa OR74A linkage group V, whole genome shotgun sequence.
AACUUUCAAUAAUAGAUCUCUUAGUUCUAAUAUUAAUGAAGAAUACAAUAAAAUAUAAUAAAUAAUAUAAAUUAUAGAAUUUAAUAAAUUAUUGAAUUUUUAAAUAUAUAUUAUAUUCGCUAAUAUUCUAGCGAGUAUACUUAUUCGAACGUUA